rnacentral:rRNA from 1 species
UGGGGAAUAUUGGACAAUGGGCGCAAGCCUGAUCCAGCCAUGCCGCGUGAGUGACGAAGGCCUUAGGGUUGUAAAGCUCUUUUGGCGGGGAAGAUAAUGACGGUACCCGCAGAAUAAGCUCCGGCUAACUUCGUGCCAGCAGCCGCGGUAAUACGAAGGGAGCUAGCGUUGUUCGGAAUCACUGGGCGUAAAGCGCACGUAGGUGGGCAGUUAAGUCAGGGGUGAAAGCCCGAGGCUCAACCUCGGAAUUGCCUCUGAUACUGGCUGUCUAGAGUUCGAGAGAGGUGAGUGGAAUUCCUAGUGUAGAGGUGAAAUUCGUAGAUAUUAGGAAGAACACCGGUGGCGAAGGCGGCUCACUGGCUCGAUACUGACACUGAGGUGCGAAAGCGUGGGGAGCAAACAGGAUUAGAUACCCCUGUAGUCCCUGAGCGGGCUGGCAAGGCGCAU